UCUCCGUUGGUGAACCAGCGGAGGGAUCAUUACCGGAGUUUUACAACUCCCAACCCUCCUGUGAACCAACUUUUUGUUUCCUCGGCGGACUCGCCCCACCGUCCGGUCGGCCCCGCGCCGGCCCGCGACCGGGACCACGGAGUCCGCCGGAGACCACACCAUCCUGUAUCCAUCAGUCUCUCUGAAUCCGCCGCAUGGCAAAACAAACUAUUCAAUACUGUCAACAAGGGAACUCUUGGAUCUCGCAUGGAUAAAGAACGCAGCAGAUCGGACGAGCAG
rnacentral:misc_RNA from 1 species